UACGGAGGGUGCGAGCGUUGUCCGGAAUCACUGGGCGUAAAGGGCGCGUAGGUGGCGCGGGAAGUCAACGGUGAAAGUUCGGGGCUCAACCCUGAAUCGGCCGUCGAUACUCCCGGGCUCGAGCACUGUAGAGGCGGAUGGAAUUCCGGGUGUAGCGGUGGAAUGCGUAGAGAUCCGGAAGAACACCGGUGGCGAAGGCGGUCUGCUGGGCAGUUGCUGACACUGAGGCGCGACAGCGUGGGGAGCAAACAGG
rnacentral:rRNA from 1 species